GACGAACGCUGGCGGCGUGCUUAGCACAUGCAAGUCGAACGGUAAGGCUCCAGCUUGCUGGGGUACACGAGUGGCGAACGGGUGAGUAACACGUGGGUGACCUGCCCUGCACUUCGGGAUAAGCCUGGGAAACUGGGUCUAAUACCGGAUAGGACCAUGGUGUGGAUACUGUGGUGGAAAGUUUUUUCGGUGUGGGAUGGGCCCGCGGCCUAUCAGCUUGUUGGUGGGGUAAUGGCCUACCAAGGCGGCGACGGGUAGCCGGCCUGAGAGGGUGGACGGCCACAUUGGGACUGAGACACGGCCCAGACUCCUACGGGAGGCAGCAGUGGGGAAUAUUGCACAAUGGGCGGAAGCCUGAUGCAGCGACGCCGCGUGGGGGAUGACGGCCUUCGGGUUGUAAACUCCUUUCACCAUCGACGAAGGGUUUCUGACGGUAGAUGGAGAAGAAGCACCGGCUAACUACGUG
rnacentral:rRNA from 1 species